ensembl:lncRNA
GGAAAAUGUAGUUCCAGCCCUUUAAUCUUCCUUUCCCAGAGGAUCCUGCAGGCAGUGUCAGAACUACGACUCCCAGGGGCCUCUGCGGCCUGGUGGCCCCUCCCCCCGCUGCCUCCAGCUCCGGGUUCGUCCUUCCCGAACCCAGCGAACCCAACGAACCCAACGGUGCCCAGGCGUCUCGCGCCGUCGGUUAAGCGGCUCUUUGGUCAGCAGAGGCUGGGCUGCGGUCCUUUCCGCCGCCCCGGGACCAGGAAAGGGAGCGAUGAAGGCGCCGGCGCCCCGCCGCUCGGGCCUUCCACCCGCGACUCCAGCUCAGGGUCCCCGAACACUUCGGGCCACCAGGAGACCUGGCCGUCGGGAGUGUUAAAAGCGCCCCGGCCUCUCGGAAAGUGCGACCAAAGCCGACAGCGACUGGUGUCGAGGAAGAAGGGGGUCGUUUCAGGCUGUGUCAUGGAAGCAGUUUUCUCGAGUAGGAAAGACGAAUCUUACAGACCGUCUCGUGACCGCGCCUCCGCUCUGCCCAGCGUUCACUCUACAAUUGCAGUGAGCACCUGUUAUGUGCAACGAUCACAGAGAUGAGGCCGACCAGAGCCUUACUGUCGAGGAACUGGACAAACAAGAACCCACAGAGGCCCCAGGCUGCUAAAAUACAUCCCAGAGGUCGACAAAGGCGGUGCCUGGUUAAAAAGCAGCCAGAGGGAUGCAGAGCUCAUCAGGCUCUGAGCGCCUGGCUUCCCGGGAAGGCGUCUGGGCUGCUGCAGUCCCCCUGCCGUGAGGGCUUCAGGGCCUCCGAGGACACAUGCCGACGGUACCCAGCAGCUUCCUGGAGCAGCUCCCUGGCAGCUGGAAGGCUGGGCAGACUCCCACGCGGUCCAGUCCCCACGCGCCCCCUGCCUUCCCUGGGUCCUGGAGCAGGGAGCUCACAGCACAGAGGAUGAGACAGCGGUCUGUUGUCCCAGCGCAUGGCAGCACCACGCAGCUCUGUUAUCUCAGUUUCUGGGGGUCGGGGAUGGAGCCAAGACCAGCAGGGCCUUCGGCCUCGAGGUCUCGCGAGGCUGCACCUGGGUGUCGGUAGGGACUGUGGCCUGUGCACAGGCUCCACCUGGAGGGUCCAGGCACACUCACGUUGGCAGGAUUCGGUUCCUCACAAGCUACUGGGGGAGCGUCAUCCUUUUCUGCAUUUUGCUGGAGGGCUCACUCCGUUUUUGGCCACAUGGGCCUCUUCAGAGCGCACCUCCCCGGGGGGCAGGGCCCCGUGACCCCUGUCUGCAAUGGCAGCUUGUCCCUCUGUGCUGUUAGAUUCCACUUACCCUGGGGGCCCUUGCAGGGUGCUCGUCCAGUGGGGGCCCCUGGGGGCGACACCCCUGCCCCACUCUGCGCUCUUCCUACCGUCCCCCAGGCCUGGGUCUCCAGAGAUGGUCAUACUGUGUCCAGUGUGACAACUGUGUGUUUUUCUCUCGUUUUGGAAACUGUAGCCUGGGCUGUCGCGCCCUGAGCUAGAUGUACCCAGAGAGUUGUAGGGUGCGCUGUGGUCACUGUUCUGUCCACGCCGCCCCUGCGACAGCCCUCCCUGAGCCUCUGCUUACGAGGCUUUCCAACCUCCUCCGGGACAUGGAGCCACUUUCCUUAUGCUCAGGAGUUGUUUGCAUUUUUAUCAGAGCAGGAUCAGGUGCGUCCCCCCCCCCCCCCCCCCGUCUCCGUGGAGUGGAGGAGCAACGGGAAAUCCGAGAAGGAAGUGUAGGGGCCCCCACAAGCCACACAGUCAAGGCUUGAACCACAGCUAAAUCUCGGCGUUGGUGAGAGCCUGGGAAGAGCCGCUGUGGAGGCCUGGGCGCCCCUGGUGCCCCAGGAGGCCGAGCCAGGGGGGCUGGGCGAGGUAGGGUGGCCCCAGGCCCAUGGUGUCCCGAUGCUGCAGCCACCCAGCCACUGUCUGGUGUCCCCUGGCUAGGGCCCGCUGGGAGCUGGCGCCUUGGGCUGCUCUUCUGUUUGUGGGCUGUGUAAUAAACGGAAGUUAAAAAGGACUGGCUCAUUCUUUACUGGCAAACCUGCCAACCUUGACAGGAGGGAAGGAAGAAGGGGAGGGGAGACGGGAAGAAGGGCCCCAGGCCCCGCCCCUCGCCACCCCUCCCCUGGGCUGGCCCUGGGUCCUGCUUUCUGGUCCCGCUUAUCCUCCCGGGCUCCAUCCAGCUCUUGGGGUUUGACCACUCCACUCUGGGGACACUGUGGCCCAGCCCUGCCCCCCAGGAGACACUCGAGUAAGGGGAUCCGGGCUCACUCCCAGACCGGAGCAGCCCCCAGGUGGGCCAGCACUGGGAGCAAGAGGGAGAGGACUCAGCCCCUUUUUCCUCGACAUCUUAUGGAAAUUUGCAAGCACAAAGUGGGAUUUUUCACUACACACCUGCACACCCACUGGCGAUGAUCCCACUCAGCGUUUUACUAGACUGUUAAUAUCUAGGCAACCAUCCUUUAAUUCAUUUAAUUUUUGGUGCAUUCAAAAUCAAUUUCGGCCUUAAAUGUGCUUGCCCCUAGGUACAUUAGCAUGUACAUCAGCUAGAGUUCAUUACUGACAGUCUUUCCGUGUACAGCAGUGAAACGCCCAGCUUGAAGUGGACAGUCACUCUUUUGACAAGUGUAUGCAUUCUUGUAACUCAGACCCUUAUUGAGAUACUGAGUGUUCCCAUCACCCCAGAAAUUUCCCUCAUGCUCCUUGCUGGUUGACCCCCAGUCCACUCGGAGGCAACUACUCAGUAACCUGCCUUGUGAUACUGGUACAAAGUACGAAGUGAAGCCGUUCACUCCUGUUCGCCUCUUUGUGAUCCCAUGGACUGUAGCCCACCAGUCUUCUUGUCCAUGGAAUUUUCCAGGCAAGAGUACUGGAGUGGGUUGCCAUUUUCUUCUCCAGGGAUCUUCCCAACCCAGGGAUUGAACUCGGGUCUCCCCCCAUUGCAGGCAGAUGCUUUACCAUCUGAGCGACCACAGAUUUAAUCCUGGAGCCUAAAACAGAAGGGAAUUAUUUUUUAAUGGCUAAUAUUUUGUUCCCAGAACACCGAAGUAGUUAAAGACCUGUUGAAAAAUGAAAAGUAGAUAUAUCAAAAUAGUUUAUUUAUACAAAAAGAAACCGAUAAUCUUGCUUUCCUGGUUUUAGUGGAAACGAACUCAAUAUUUCCAAAGUCUACUACUUGUUUUUAAAGGAGAGAAUUGCCAUGCUAAUUUCUUUUGAUGAAGUGAUCUUAAUUUUUCAUUUACUGCAGCUUACUGAAAUGUUUUAUAGGAUGCCAUGGUGACUGGGAAUGCUAACAGCCUUCUCAAGGCCAUGUCCAAAUUGGAAAGUAUUGUACUAAGCAAAUUUGUGAAUCAGCCUUAGAAGAUGCAAGCACUAUUUAAUAAAUAACUGAUACUGCAUGCUGCUUAAAACUAUAUCAGAUGGAUAUAUAGGACUUAAGGAUAUUUGAGUCAAGUAAGUGGCUGCUUUGUGUAAGAGGUAUCCAUAGAAAACUUUUCUCCAUUUAAAAAUUCAAAAUGUAAGACACUUUAAUUUUUCAUAUAAUCAUUUCAAUGUGAAAAUUAAGGCAUCCAUAAUUUCUUUAAUUUCCAUUUGAUAUGAAGUUUUAUAAUAAUUGACACUCAUCUAGUGAUUCAUUUCCAAUUUUUAUACUUUAAUUUUAAAAUUCAAGUGCAGUAUUGGUGACAUAGAGGUGAGCAUAGCUGCCUCCCAUGAAGUGCAAGCAGUAGCCCAUAUCUUUUGCUAAGAUUUCACAUUAAUCAAACAUUGAAAGUUUGUUAUUUCUAAGCAAAGGUACAGGCCUUCUGCUAAGCAUACAACAAUAUAUAGUCUUUUUAAAAAAAUUGUAUAGACAUUAACUUUUACACUGGUUUAGAAUAACAUCCUACACAGAUUGUAUAAAAUAAUGCAUUUGUGCCAAGAUGCUUUUGAUGUACGCUUUUCAUGUAAUAUAUAUUUCAGUAUAAGUGCCUUUGUAUGUGAAAUACCUUGUUUACAUUUAAUCUUUAUCUUCAUGGGAUAUCUGGAUGUGUUUUUAAUGUAGGUUUUAGAACAGACAUAAGAAUAUCCCAUCUGCGCAUCCAUUUUUAAAACUUCAUCACACACAAAAUAUAUGUGUAUAUUAUAUGUAUCCAUAUACAUAUAUAUAAAUGCUAAAAGAUGGUUAACAUUUGAUUUCCCAGGGGCAGCAUUUUUGCUUAUUUUUAUGAGCUGAGGAAGCACAAAUUUGGCAUAAUCAUAUUUUGGGGGAAAAUGUCUUAUAAACUCUUGUAUAACAUGCUAUAUUUUCUCCAUUAGACUAUAUCUGGCCACAGGCAUUUUAAAUUUUAUUUCCAACCUCUAAUUUCAUAAGCUAGACUUAGAAAGUUUCAUCUUUCAUUUCAAUCAAGUCAGUACAACUUACUUUAUUGUUAUGACAUUGUUCUUAAUGUGAGCAGAACUCGUGGUCAGACAUGCUUGUUCACAAUGGGCUACAUCUUGUGUACAAGCAAAAAAUAAAAAGUACUUGCUCCAUUCUUGACAGUAUUUCAGAACUCAUGUGAUUUGCUUGUAACAUGAUAUACUUGUUUUGAAUUUCAUUAGACCAGGCACAUGGAUUUCCAAUAAUUUCUGUGAUUCUCUUUAAGAUUUAAAUUGUUUUCUUCAAAGUGUAAUAUCUAAAAUGACUCAAUAUAUUGUGAUUUUUGUUUCUUUGAUUUUGUCAUCUUCUGCAAAACAUCAUCUAUUAAACUGUCAGUUUGAAUAUUUUUCAAAAACACUUCCCAUUUUAGCAUCACAAUGAGACAUCUAAUUUUCAAGGUCACAGCUUUUGUUUAAAUUUUUCUAAUAUUUGAAAACUUUUGAUGGUUCCAAAAAUUUGAUUCUGUUGUAUUAUUGUGGGGAAACAUUCACGAAAAAUAAAGACACUUCUUGUGAAUAAAUGAACCAGUCACAGUGAAUUUAUUUGCCAUAAUAGAAAAAAAAGAUUUGGAAGAAUUGGCCAUCAUGUGAAAUAGAUUCUUUAAAAUAGCUUCUCUAAAAUAUACCCUUUUCC